UACGUAGGGGGCGAGCGUUGUCCGGAUUUAUUGGGCGUAAAGAGCUCGUAGGCGGUUCGGUAAGUCGGAUGUGAAAUCUCCACGCUCAACGUGGAGGGGCCAUUCGAUACUGCCGUGACUCGAGUCCGGUAGGGGAGUGUGGAAUUCCCGGUGUAGCGGUGAAAUGCGCAGAGAUCGGGAGGAACACCCGUAGCGAAGGCGGCACUCUGGGCCGGUACUGACGCUGAGGAGCGAAAGCGUGGGGGAGCAAACAGG
rnacentral:rRNA from 1 species